UUAUCUGGAAAGUUUUGCCUUCAGUAAGUAAGGGAGCGGUGGAUUUAUCAUCAUGUCGACAUUGUUGGAUAUGAAAGAGUUUGAAGAAGCUGCUCCGUUUCUGCGCAAAUCCGACCUGGAGCUGCUGGCAGCGCAAACUGUUGCGUUUGAUGGAAAGAAACGCGCUUGGAUACCAGAUGAAAAGGACGCAUACAUAGAGGUGGAAAUCAAAGUCAUCGUUGAGACCACGGACGGGAAGUGUUUAACUGCGAAGGAGGAUGACGUUCAAUAGAUGAAACCUCCAAAGUUUGACAUGAUAGAGGACAUGGCCAUGCUCACACACCUGAAUGAAGCUUCGGUGCUCCGUAAAUUAAUCUACGAAGGCGCUACAGCAGUUUGAUGAUCUAUACAUAUUCUGGAUUCUUCUGUGUGACCGUGAACCCAUAUAAAUGGCUUCCCGUCUACACGACCCCUAUAGUGGCUGCCUACAAAGGCAAACGCCGCUCUGUGGCUCCACCUCACAUCUGUUCCAUCGCUGACAAUGCAUACAAUGACAUGUUGUGCAGCCUCUUCCAGUAAAACUGGGGUACUUUAGAAGACCAGAUCAUUGAAGCUAAUCCUGCAAUGGAAGCUUUUGGAAAUGCCAAGACAUUAAGGAACGACAACUCAUCCCGUUUUAUCUUCUGGAAAAAACCAGAGUGAUAUUUCAGCAGCCUGUAGAGCGUAGUUACCACAUCUACUACCAGAUCAUGUCACAAAAGAAGCCUGAACUUCUUGACAUGCUUCUGGUCUCUUCAAACCCCUAUGUCUACCAUUUUUGCUCCCAAGGAGUGACAACGCUGAAGAAUAUGGAUGAUGGGCAGGAGCUUAUGGCUACUGAUGUGUUGAUAAGGCCUCCUACCUGAUGGGUGUUAGCUCAGCAGACCUUACAAAGGGUCUUCUGCACCCCAGAAUGAAGGUGGGCAAUGAGUAUGUGGUUCAAGGACAGAAUGUAGAACAGAUACAAGGAAUAAAGCAGCCUGAGAAAUCAGCCUGGUAUCCAGGCAACUGUUGCAAUCCAUGAGUGACAGCUGUGAUCUUCAUGUGCUCCACACACACUGUGUGGCUCCACCAGGUUAACUAUGCAGUGGGAGCUCUGGCCAAAGCCACUUAUGAUCGCAUGUUCUAGUGUUUGGUGGGGCGUAUAAAUAGGACACUGUACACUGGUCUGCCACGCCAGUUCUUUAUCGGAGUGCUGGACAUCGUCGGCUUUGAGAUCUUUGAGCUCAACAGCUUCGAGCAGCUCUGCAUCAAUUCACCAAUGAGAAACUGCAACAGUUUUUCAACCACCACAUGUUCAUCCUGGUACAGGAGGAAUACAAAAGGGAGGGCAUUGAGUGGACCUUUGUUGACUUUGAGCUUGAUUUCCAGACCUGCAUUGAUCUCUUUGAAAAGCCCUUAGGAAUCAUGUCCAUUCUUGAAGAGGAGUGCAUGUUCCCUAAAGCUACUGACAACAGCUGCAAGGCAAAGCUCUUUGACCAUCACCUUGGCAAAUCUGCUAAUUUCCAAAAGCCAAGGCCUGACAAGAAAGAAAGUAUGAGGCUCAUUUUGAGCUAGUGCACUAUGCAGGAUUGCCUCUAAAACAGAAACAAGCGGCAAGGAAAACAGGAAAAAGGCUGCUUCCUUCCAGACAGUGUCACAACUACACAAGGAGAAUCUCAACAAGCUGAUGACAAACUUGCGGAGCACUCAACCCCAGUUUGUGCGCUGCAUUAUUCCCAAUGAGACCAAAACACCAGGUAUUGCAUUUAUAAUUUAUAAUCAAGUUUGUUGACUGCAGGAAAGCUGCAGAUAAACUUCUGGCUUCACUGGACAUCGACCAUAAUCAGUAUAGAUUUGGACAUACUAAAGCAAGUCAGACUUCAGUCAAUAAAAGGUGUUCUUUAAAGCUGGUCUGUUGGGAGACCAGGAGGAGAUGAGGGACGAGCGUCUGUCUAAAGUUCUCACUCUGCUGCAGGCCACCAGCAGUAGCAAGAUCAUGAGGAUGGAGCUGAAGAAGAUUAUGGAGAGGAAGAGGCUCUUAUGAUCAUCCAGUGGAAUAUCCGGGCCUUCAACUUCGAGAAGAACUGGCCGUGGAUUAAACUUUUCUUCAAAAUCAAGCCCCUUCUGAGGAGUGCCGCCACGGAAAAAGAGCUGGUCGCUCUAAAAGAGGAGUUCCUGAAACUAAAGGAGGCACUAGAAAAAACUGGAAGAGAAACAGGUCAGCCUGAUCCAAGAGAAGAAUGACCUUUCCCUGCAGCUUCAGGCAGUGAAGAAUCUGAUUGAAGAGAUGGCAGCUUUGGAUGAAACUAUUUGAAAGCUCAGUAAAGAGAAGAAGGCCCUACAGGGGAAGACAAAGUCAACACUCUGACUAAGGCAAAGCCAAGUUGGAGCAGCAGUUGGAGGGGUCCUUGGAAUAGGCGAAUGGACCUGGAACAGGCCAAACGCAAGCUGAAGGGCGAUCUUAAGCUGGCAAUGGAGUCUGUCAUGGGCCUUAAAAAUGACAAGCAGCAAUUAGAGGCAAAGCUAAAGAAUUCAGAAAACAACACAUGACAGGAUGCUCAAAAAAAAAAUAUUUUGAUUCUUAAAAUGUCUUUUAAAUUGUAAAAACGAUUUUGAAAUUAACCAGAUCAGUUUGAAAAGCUUCAAAAGAAAAUCAAGGAACUGCAGGCUCGCAUUAAGGAGCUCGAAGAGGAACUGGAAGCAGAGCGUUCCACCCGAGCGAAGAUGGAGAAAUAGCGAUGCGAAGGAAGCCAGAGGUGCCACGUCAGCUCAAAUUGAGAUGAAUAAGAAACAUGAGGCAGACUUUCUAAAACUCCAUCGUGACCUUGAGGAGGCCAUACUGCACCGUGAGGCUAUGACUGCCGCACUGCGUGAAAAGCAUGCAGACAAUGUGGCUGAAAUGAGUGAGCAAAUUUACAAGAGUCAAACAGAAGUUGGAGAAGGAGAGAAGUGAGGCCAAGAUGGAGGCAGAUGACCUAACCUUCAAUUUAGAGCAGCUGGCAAAGAGCAAGACAAACACACUGUUUGAUGACUGUAAUCUCCUGAGAGAGCAGUAUGAGGGAGAGCAAGAGGGCAAAUCUGAGCUGCAGCGUGCACUGUCCAAGGCCAAUGCCGAAGUCGCCCAGUGUAGGACCAAGUAUGCGACAGACGGCAUACAGAAGACAGAGGAUCUCGAGGAAGCAAAGUGAGUGUGUGGACUAGAGAGGAAAUAAUGACUGGCUUCAUUGGAUCUAAAACUGAACCAUUAAAUUAAAAAAAAUGAUAGGAAGAAGCUGGCCGUCUGCCUCCAAGAGGUUGAGGAACAAGUCUAGGCAUCAGAUGCAAAGUGCUCCUCCCUAGAAAAGACCAAACAAUGACUAAAGUCUGAGAUUGAGGAUCUCGUAGUCGAUCUGGAGCACUCUAUUGCAGCCGCCGCCGCCCUGGAUAAGGGGCAGAGGGAAUUCACAAGAUUCUGGCUGAAUGGAAGCAGAAGUACGAAGAGUGUCAGUCUGAGCUGGAGUCUUCACAGAAAGAGUCUCGUAAUCUGAGCACAGAGCUGUUUAAACUCAAGAACUCUUAUGAGGAGGCUCUGGACCAUCUGGAGAGCAUCAAACGGAAGAUUUCUGACCUGAAUGACCAAAUUGGCCAGGGCAGCAAGACCAUUCUCGAGCUUUGAAUAGAUCAAGAAGGGCUUAGAUCUGGAGAAGACUGAAAUUCAGGAGGAAGCUGAACCAUAACCAUCAGCGUGCCAUAGAGUCCAUGCAAGACAGCCUGGACGCAGAAGCAAAAUCCUGUAAUGAAGCAAUCAUGUUGCAGAAAAAGAUGGAGGGCGACCUGAAUGAAAAGGGGCUUCAGCUGAACCAUGCAAAUCGCUUGGCCACUGAGUCCCAAAAAAUGGCCCGCAACCUGCAGACACAGAUUAAGAACAAGUCAAUGCUUAAUAAAAAGAAAAAGUUAGAGAGCGAUAUCUCCACGUUGUCUAGCGAGGUGGAUGAUGCUGUGCAGGAGUGCCGAAAUGCAGAAGAAAAAGCCAAAAGUGCCAUCACUGAUUGUGCAGGCUGCCAUGAUGGCAGAAGAGCUCAAGAAAGAGCAGGAGACCAGUGCUCACCUGGAACGUAUGAAGAAGAACAUGGAGCACCAUUAAAGAUCUGCAGAUGGGUCUGGAUGAGGCCGAGCAGAUCGCUCUAAAUGCAGGCAAGAAAGAAAUUCAGAAACUGGAAAGCGGGGUAUGAAGUAUGAAAAACCUGACUGACUUUAGUGGUGUCUUGCGUUGUGAUAUAAAGUGAACUUUUAACUUUGCUUUCCUUAAGGUCAGAGACCUGGAGAGUGAGCUUUAAUCUGAGCAGAAAAAAAGCAAUAAAGAGUCUCAAGUGAAUAAACUACGGACCCGGACCAGAGACCCGGGUAGCAAGGCUAGUCCUAAGGCUUGUAGCUCUUGCCUACAGCAACUUCAUGACAUCUCUUUGAUUUGAAACUUUUAAAGAUAAAACACAGCCCUUCCUUAAACUCUCUUCAGGAUAUACACGGGCUUUUGCACAAAAGAGUAGUGUUUAAAUUUUAUGUGUUUACAAUGAAUACAUGUUAACCACUUGCCUCCUUUGCAGUCAAAAGUGACGGAAGCUUUCAAAUACAACUUUUUUUUUUUAGGAAAAUCAUUUUGAGGAAAUUUUUUGAUAUUGUGCAACAUUUAAACAAUUUUAAUGAGCUAUUUUCUCCAUUAGAAAUAAUUGUAUUUCUUUAUUUACUAUUUUUUUUUAAAUGCAAUAUUUCACAUUAAUACAGAGUGAAGGCUUUUUUAAAGUCAGAAUUAAGCCAUCAUAUUUUAAAAAAUAAAAACGUGUGUAACCUCUUCCAUUAGCACCCUGUAUAGAUAUAUACAGAGACUUUUGGAUUCCCAUAGUUAUCUAGACAUCAUUUUUUAAUUUUUUAGGUUUCGCAUUUAGAUUACCUCUUGUCGAGGUAUAGAUAUUUUUGGGUAGAUACAUAUCAGGUUUUACAUUAUGAUUACAGUCAAACAUUAAAAUCUUGUUAAAAAAGAAAACACAUAGAAAGCAUUUUUGUUACUCAGCAUUUGAUAAUUAAAAAAUCUAGCAAAAUUAGGAAUGGAUAGUGAUAUUUCAAAACACUUUAUACAAACAUUUUGUAAUUAAUUUAUAUUUUAUUAAAGGGCUGUUUCAUAUAUUUUUAAAAUUUGCUCUGUUACAGUCUUACCAGUUAAUUUCUGUGUAUAUAUAUAUAUGUGUGUGUGUGUGUGGGUGUCUAUUUAGCAUUCCUGAUAUUCUAGAGUCACCCCUUGAUUCCUGUACACUUUUUUUCAGACCAGUGGCUUAUUUGUAGUUUUUUUUUUAUCACCAAAAGAUUUACUGAGUUUUCAGUUUUAUUUUAUUCCAUUUAGUUUAAUUUUUAUUUUUUUUCAAUUAAUUUCCUAUGUCUGUCAUUUUUGACAGCGAAGAAGUUAAGUGUGACUAUUUGCUAAUGUGACAAAAAGUCACCAAGUGUCAUCUCAUUCCGAUGACGCAAAGAUUUGUAAAAUUUCAUAAUAAUAAUGAUAAUAAUAAUAAAAAAGUUAAAAUCUU